rnacentral:rRNA from 1 species
GAUGAACGCUGGCGGCGUGCCUAAUACAUGCAAGUCGAGCGAACGGACGAGAAGCUUGCUUCUCUGAUGUUAGCGGCGGACGGGUGAGUAACACGUGGAUAACCUACCUAUAAGACUGGGAUAACUUCGGGAAACCGGAGCUAAUACCGGAUAAUAUUUUGAACCGCAUGGUUCAAAAGUGAAAGACGGUCUUGCUGUCACUUAUAGAUGGAUCCGCGCUGCAUUAGCUAGUUGGUAAGGUAACGGCUUACCAAGGCAACGAUGCAUAGCCGACCUGAGAGGGUGAUCGGCCACGCUGGAACUGAGACACGGUCCGGACUCCUACGGGAGGCAGCAGUAGGGAAUCUUCCGCAAUGGGCGAAAGCCUGACGGAGCAACGCCGCGUGAGUGAUAAAGGUCUUCGGAUCGUAAAACCCUGUUAUUAGGGAAGAACGUAUGUGUAAGUAACUGUGCACAUCUUGACGGUACCUAAUCAGAAAGCCACGGCUAACUACGUG